rnacentral:lncRNA from 1 species
AUGGCUUCCAAAACCUUCCUAGUAUUACUCAUUCUUGCUCUUGUCAUUCCCCAAGGAUUUGCCUACUAUAAGAAACCUCCCAUUUCUCAACCACCGGUGGCAACACCUCCCAUAGAAAAACCAACUGUUGAAAGCCCUCCUGUCUACAAACAGAAACCUCCGAUUUAUAAGCCACCGGUAGGGCCUCAACCACCAGCUUACACGCCUCCAUUCUAA